GGGGAAUCUUCCGCAAUGGGCGAAAGCCUGACGGAGCAACGCCGCGUGAGGGAGGAAGGCCUGUGGGUUGUAAACCUCUUUUCUCAGGGAAGAAGUUCUGACGGUACCUGAGGAAUCAGCAUCGGCUAACUCCGUGCCAGCAGCCGCGGUAAGACGGAGGAUGCAAGCGUUAUCCGGAAUUAUUGGGCGUAAAGCGUCCGUAGGCGGUUCAGAAAGUCUGCUGUUAAAGCUCACAGCUCAACUGUGAAUCGGCAGUGGAAACUUCUGGACUAGGGAGUGGUAGGGGUAGAGGGAAUUCCUAGUGUAGCGGUGAAAUGCGUAGAUAUUAGGAAGAACACCAGUGGCGAAGGCGCUCUACUGGGCCAUUACUGACGCUGAUGGACGAAAGCUAGGGGAGCGAAAGGGAUUAGAUACCCCUGUAGUCCUAGCUGUAAACGAUGGACACUAGGUGUUGGCCGUAUCGACCCGGUCAGUAUCGAAGCAAACGCGUUAAGUGUCCC
rnacentral:rRNA from 1 species